GAUGAACGCUGGCGGCGUGCCUAACACAUGCAAGUCGAGCGAGAACCGCUGGAAUGACACUUCGGUAGAAUGAAAGCGGGGAAAGCGGCGGACGGGUGAGUAACGCGUAGGUAACCUGCCCCAUACACAGGGAUAGCCUAGGGAAACCUGGAUUAAUACCUGAUGAAGCAACUGGUCGCAUGACCGGCUGCCAAAGAUUUAUCGGUAUGGGAUGGACCUGCGUCUGAUUAGUGAGUUGGUGGGGUAAUGGCCUACCAAAGCGACGAUCAGUAGCCGACCUGAGAGGGUGAUCGGCCACAUUGGAACUGAGACACGGUCCAAACUCCUGCGGGAGGCAGCAGUGGGGGAUAUUGCACAAUGGGCGGAAGCCUGAUGCAGCAACGCCGCGUGAGCGAAGAAGGUCUUCGGAUCGUAAAGCUCUGUCCUGGGGGAAGAAACAAAUGACGGUACCCGGGACGGGAAGCCCGGCUAACUACGUGCCAGCAGCCGCGGUAAACU
rnacentral:rRNA from 1 species